GACGAACGCUGGCGGCAUGCCUAAUACAUGCAAGUCGAGCGAACAGAUGAAGUGCUUGCACUUCUGACGUUAGCGGCGAACGGGUGAGUAACACGUAAGGAAUCUACCUAUAAGCGGGGGAUAACAUUCGGAAACGGGUGCUAAUACCGCAUAAUAUCUUCUUCCGCAUGGAAGAAGAUUGAAAGACGGCUCUGCUGUCACUUAGAGAUUACCUUGCGGUGCAUUAGUUAGUUGGUGGGGUAAUGGCCUACCAAGACGAUGAUGCAUAGCCGACCUGAGAGGGUGAUCGGCCACAUUGGGACUGAGACACGGCCCAAACUCCUACGGGAGGCAGCAGUAGGGAAUCUUCCGCAAUGGGCGAAAGCCUGACGGAGCAAUGCCGCGUGAGUGAAGAAGGCCUUCGGGUCGUAAAACUCUGUUAUAAGAGAAGAACAAAUUGUAGAGUAACUGCUACAGUCUUGACGGUAUCUUAUCAGAGAGCCACGGCUAACUACGUGCCAGCCGCCGCAGUAA
rnacentral:rRNA from 1 species